AGAGUUUGAUCCUGGCUCAGGAUGAACGCUGGCGGCGUGCCUAAUACAUGCAAGUCGAACGAGGUGCUUUUGUAGUAAUACGAGAGUAUCCUAGUGGCGAACGGGUGAGUAACGCGUUGGUGACCUACCCCAAAGUGUGGGAUAACAGUCCGAAAGGAUUGCUAAUACCGCAUGUGGUCCUCAGUUUUAGAAACUGAUGACUAAAGGAGCAAUUCGCUUUGGGAGGGACCUGCGUCCCAUCAGCUAGUUGGUGAGGUAAUGGCUCACCAAGGCUACGACGGGUAGGGGACCUGAGAGGGUGACCCCCCACAAUGGAACUGAAACACGGUCCAUACACCUACGGGUGGCAGCAGUAGGGAAUAUUGCCCAAUGGACGAAAGUCUGAGGCAGCAACGCCGCGUGCACGAUGAAGGCCUUCGGGUCGUAAAGUGCUUUUCUGGGAGAUGAGAAAGGACAGUAUCCCAGGAAUAAGUCUCGGCUAACUACGUGCCAGCAGCCGCGGUAAAACGUAGGAGGCGAGCGUUAUCCGGAUUCACUGGGCGUAAAGCGCGUGCAGGUGGCCUGGUAAGUUAGGCGUGAAAUCUCCCGGCUCAACUGGGAGAGGUCGUCUAAUACUACCGGGCUCGAGAGCAGAAGAGGAAGAUGGAAUUCCCGGUGUAGUGGUGAAAUGCGUAGAUAUCGGGAGGAACACCAGUGGCGAAGGCGAUCUUCUGGUCUGUUUCUGACACUCAGACGCGACAGCUAGGGUAGUAAACGGGAUUAGAUACCCCCGUAGUCC
rnacentral:rRNA from 1 species